UUUUUAAAGCUCUCAUUUCCUGCUUGCUGGAAUGUCACUGGUUUUGAAGUGAAUGGGAGCAACAUAGCUAAUCAUACCAGUGCAAUAGUCACAGCAGCACAGUAUAUUUCAGGAGAAGAGUGUGCUGAUUUGUGGAAGCAGUGACCUGUCCACACUCAUGAUAAUGUUAAUGAGGACAAGGAUUCGUGUGACGGGCAGUGUGAUGAUGUGAAAUGGGGAAUGAAGACAAGCUGGAAGACACAGGAUAAGAGGGUACCCGUUCGAAUGAUUGACAGUAACCAUGGGGACACCACAAUGAUGACAUCAGAACAUCAACAGGAUUUAAACUGUCGAGAGGCACUAGGUCGACAUCCUCAAAUUGUGAACACGUGCACAAGGAAGGUGGCAUUGCUGCCGAACAGGAUCUGGCACUGCUCACUGGCACUAUAAUGCAUCCCGGGCAGUUUGUGGGGAAGCCUGACGGCAUGAUGACUGCGGGGGUCGGUCACCAGCAGACAUGAACUCACUUUGGAUCUGCGGAAAGUUCAAAAGAAAAAAUGUUACUUUGAGAUGCGAUACAAUAGCGGAAGAUCACAUUUCAGUACAUGUGGAAAGCAGUGGCCCAUAGUGCUAUAAACUGAAUAAACUAAAAUCGGUAUCUCUAUA